CCUACGGGGGGCAGCAGUCGAGAAUCAUUCACAAUGGGGGAAACCCUGACGGUGCGACGCCGCGUGGGGGAAUGAAGGUCUUCGGAUUGUAAACCCCUGUCAUGUGGGAGCAAAUUAAAAAGAUAGUACCACAAGAGGAAGAGACGGCUAACUCUGUGCCAGCAGCCGCGGUAAUACAGAGGUCUCAAGCGUUGUUCGGAAUCACUGGGCGUAAAGCGUGCGUAGGCUGUUUGGUAAGUCGGGUGUGAAAGGCGCGGGCUCAACCCGCGGACGGCACAUGAUACUGGGGGACUAGAGUGAGGGAGGGGGAACCGGAAUUCUCGGUGUAGCAGUGAAAUGCGUAGAUAUCGAGAGGAACACUCGUGGCGAAGGCGGGUUCCUGGACAUUAACUGACGCUGAGGCACGAAGGCCAGGGGAGCGAAAGGGAUUAGAUACCCGGGUAGUC
rnacentral:rRNA from 1 species